AUUGAACGCUGGCGGCAGGCCUAACACAUGCAAGUCGAGCGGAUGAAGGGAGCUUGCUCCUGGAUUCAGCGGCGGACGGGUGAGUAAUGCCUAGGAAUCUGCCUGGCAGUGGGGGAUAACGUCCGGAAACGGGCGCUAAUACCGCAUACGUCCUGAGGGAGAAAGUGGGGGAUCUUCGGACCUCACGCUAUCAGAUGAGCCUAGGUCGGAUUAGCUAGUUGGUGGGGUAAAGGCCUACCAAGGCGACGAUCCGUAACUGGUCUGAGAGGAUGAUCAGUCACACUGGAACUGAGACGCGGUCCAGACUCCUACGGGAGGCAGCAGUGGGGAAUAUUGGACAAUGGGCGAAAGCCUGAUCCAGCCAUGCCGCGUGUGUGAAGAAGGUCUUCGGAUUGUAAAGCACUUUAAGUUGGGAGGAAGGGCAGUAAGUUAAUACCUUGCUGUUUUGACGUUACCAACAGAAUAAGCACCGGCUAACUUCGUG
rnacentral:rRNA from 1 species